AACGAACGCUGGCGGCAGGCUUAACACAUGCAAGUCGAGCGCCCCCGCGAGGGGGAGCGGCGGACGGGUUAGUAACGCGUGGGAACGUGCCCUUUGCUCUGGAAUAGCCCUGGGAAACUGGGGGUAAUACCGGAUGUGCCCUGAGGGGGAAAGGUUUACCGGCAAGGGAUCGGCCCGCGUCUGAUUAGGUAGUUGGUGGGGUAACGGCUCACCAAGCCGACGAUCGGUAGCUGGUUUGAGAGGAUGAUCAGCAACACUGGGACUGAGACACGGCCCAGACUCCUACGGGAGGCAGCAGUGGGGAAUCUUGGACAAUGGGGGCAACCCUGAUCCAGCCAUGCCGCGUGGGUGAUGAA
rnacentral:rRNA from 1 species